CUACGGGCCGCUCCAGUGAGGAAUAUUGCACAAUGGGGGGAACCCUGAUGCAGCAACGCCGCGUGGAGGAUGACGCAUUUCGGUGUGUAAACUCCUUUUAUAUGUCAAGAAAAUGACGGUAGCAUAUGAAUAAGCACCGGCUAACUCCGUGCCAGCAGCCGCGGUAAUGCGGAGGGUGCAAGCGUUACUCGGAAUCACUGGGCGUAAAGGACGCGUAGGCGGGUUGGAAAGUCAGGUGUGAAAUCCUACAGCUUAACUGUAGAACUGCACUUGAAACUUCUAAUCUAGAGUAUGGGAGGGGGAGAUGGAAUUAGUGGUGUAGGGGUAAAAUCCGUAGAUAUCACUAGGAAUACCUAAAGCGAAGGCGAUCUCCUGGAACAUUACUGACGCUAAGGCGUGAAAGCGUGGGGAGCAAACAGGAUUAGAUACCCUAGUAGUC
rnacentral:rRNA from 1 species